UUGAAACCCAAACGCUAAGAAAGUGGCUUUGCUGGGCUGAGAGCACCUGAGAGGCAGCUCAGUGGAACAAUUUAUUUUUUUGCAUGCAGUAAGAACUCAAUGACUUGGUUUUUUAGCUGUGUUUAGGAGGAGGGAUCAUGGUAUGGUUACAGUGUAGGAACAAGAAAUCUAAGUGCUAUUUCUGGCUCUGCCACAGACAUCCUGUCUGCCUUUGGGACAGUCACUUCACCUCUGGGGCCCCAGAUUAAUACAGAAUUACUUAAUAAUAUCACCCUCAUGAAAGUUGCUUCGUUCCACCAUGAGUAAUCCCUCCUAGAAACAGAAUGUGACACACUCUUCUAGCUCGUACAAGUGACACGUGUGCAUUCCCAGUUGGAGAGCUGAUACCUUUAAGUAUACCAGCUUUCAUAUUUAAUUCUUGCAUCAGUUUUUUAGGUUCAUUCUCUGGCAUCUCUUUUUACCAAAGCCCUGAAUUUCAAUUCUGUUUCCACUGACCUUGGGACCCAGGGGAUUAAUUCUCUGGCUAAAUUCAUUCUUUUUCUAUACUUAUAAUUUUACUCCUUUUCUUUUUUUGUUAAUGAAUUUGUGCCAGGAAGUGUUCUCUUUUCCGUGCUUGUAGUUUCCACUGUAUUUAAUUCAAAAGCUAUGGUUUUGCCCCCAAAGUCUUGUAAAAGUCAAGGCCUCUCUCUAUUUUCUUUCUUCCCCAUUUGCAAUGUGUCAGCUUUUGUUAGGGGUGGUAGGGAAGGUACAGCUGCUUUUUGGGGCUUUCUGUUGUGUAUUAAAAGAGGAUCUGAUCUUCAAGCAUAUCUGGACUAAAGUCUGGAGAGCAGAGCCCAGGCUGGCUCAAGAGCUGGCUCUGACUUCUUCUAAGCCCCCUCAUUCCCACUGCACAAAUUUGCUCUUUUUGCUUUUUCCGGGCCAGAUCUUCAGGAACAGCCUGUUCUCCCUGUUCAGGGACUCAUAACCCCCCUUCCUUCUCUUUCAUGUACAUGGGACAAGAUGCUGCCCGUAGCCAUCACUCUGCUGGCUGCUCCUCCACAGCAGUUCUCACUAAAAAAAUUAAAAACAUCUCUUAGAAACAUUGUUUGGAUCAACCCAUCAGCCAAGCCUCACAUGGGAGACUUAUCUGGGUGAUCUCUCCAAGCUCCCUUUGGCUCUCUCUCCCUGCUGGCUUCUCAUCCCUGAUGCUCUGCUCAGCUGCUGCUCUGGGCAGCCAAAACGUGGCUGAGAGAACCCCGUGGUGUUCUGUCAGCACUGAGGACUCACUGCUUCCCAGGGCCACAGUGUGGAGCUGCCAGGGCAGAUGAACCCCAGUUAGUGACCUCAGGGCCUGGGCACCCACAGCCCCAGGUGGCCUCACCUUGGCAUGGGGCUCCAGGGUAGGAUUCAGAACUGUGUCACAAUGCAAUGGCCCUGUGAGCUGACACGAGGGCUUAACUGGCUCUAUCCAAGCCUUGCACGCCAAAUAUUCUCAGCCAAAUGCUGCUGAUUUUCAGAAAAGGAAAGAAUUAUUUUCCUAGCCAUGAGCUAGCAGCCAAGAGAAGGAACUUUCAUGUGCCAGGUCUGUGGAAUUUUAAAUGUGAGCUCUAUGGAAAUCCAGACCAACACGGACUAAAUGUGGAGAAAUUGCCCAUGACAAAGUAAGGGAACUUUACAAAUCGGAGAGAACAUCAAGGUGAAAAUUUUGAAUCUGAAUUCAAGGUUUUCUUUAAAGAAUGCUAUCAAGUAGCCAAACUAUUAAAAAGAGAUUUCCCUUAAACCAGAGCUGCAGAGACAAUUGCAGAACAUCUGUUGAUGGGAACUUCCUCAUGAACCCCAGUUCAGAGCUGAGGAAAUACCGUUUUGGAACAUAACCAUUCUUUUAUUCUCUUCUCACGAAUGUUGAAUACAUCUUUCUGAGAUAUUUGAAUAGUCGUCAUUCUAAAUGAUCUUAAUAUUAUAAACAUACCUGCUGCCUCCUGGCAGUUCCCCUGGAUUUUCAGCCUCUGCCUCUGCCCAGUGCUUUUUGGUAUUUUUUUAAUCUCAUAAAAUUUUGUGAUCAUCUUAUUUCCUUUUAAUGCUAUUAAAGUGUAAAUUAUGCACAUUC